rnacentral:lncRNA from 1 species
GGAUGUGGUCUGUUAGGUAAGGAUGCCUGAGGUAGUAAUUUGAACUGAACUCUAAAAGGUGACUAUCAAUUAUCUAGAAGAACAGGUGGUGUGAAGAGCCUUCAAGGGCCAGAGAACAGUCAGUAAGGAGAAUACGGUUGGUAAAAUAUUGAAGAGCAUCUGAAAAGGCAGUUUGGCUGGGACAGAGUAAGAGACGAGGUAGCACAGUUUAAGCUGGAGCCAAGCUAUCCAGAGAACUUCUUUGAAUAUAGCUCUACCCUGGGCAUGAUGAACUCCAAUACGGAGUAAAUGUGCCUUUGCUGCCUGCCAGCUGCCAGCUUCCACUUCCUCCCCACAAGACAAAUGCAUAUGAAGACGGUAUGCACUCGUCUGGCCUCAUUUAGGCAAAGAAGCCAACAUAACACAGAGACUGAGACUCUGAAGAAUGUGAUAUGGAGAUGGAAAAAUGGGGUAAGCCCUGGGCUGCAUGGUAGCAAUUUCUCUAGCAGACCCUAG